rnacentral:rRNA from 1 species
AUUGAACGCUGGCGGCAGGCCUAACACAUGCAAGUCGAACGAGUGGCGGACGGGUGAGUAAUGUCUGGGACACUGCCUGAUGGAGGGGGAAAACUACUGGAAACGGUAGCUAAUACCGCAUACCAUCAGAUGUGCCCAGAUGGGAUGAGCGUGUUGGUGGGUGAACGGCUCACCAAGGCGACGAUCCCUAGCUGGUCUGAGAGGAUGACCAGCGACACGGGAACGGAGACACGGUCCAGACUCCUACGGGAGGCAGCAGUGGGGAAUAUUGCACAAUGGGCGCAAGCCUGAUGCAGCCAUGCCGCGUGUAUGAAGAAGGCCUUCGGGUUGUAAAGUACGUUCAGCGGGGAGGCGUUACCCGCAGAAGAAGCACCGGCUAACUCCGUGCCAGCAGCCGCGGUAAUUC